rnacentral:rRNA from 1 species
AUUGAACGCUGGCGGCAGGCCUAACACAUGCAAGUCGAACGGUAGCACAGAGAGCUUGCUCUCGGGUGACGAGUGGCGGACGGGUGAGUAAUGUCUGGGAAACUGCCCGAUGGAGGGGGAUAACUACUGGAAACGGUAGCUAAUACCGCAUAACGUCGCAAGACCAAAGUGGGGGACCUUCGGGCCUCACACCAUCGGAUGUGCCCAGAUGGGAUUAGCUAGGAGGUGGGGUAAUGGCUCACCUAGGCGACGAUCCCUAGCUGGUCUGAGAGGAUGACCAGCCACACUGGAACUGAGACACGGUCCAGACUCCUACGGGAGGCAGCAGUGGGGAAUAUUGCACAAUGGGCGCAAGCCUGAUGCAGCCAUGCCUCGUGUAUGAAGAAGGCCUUCGGGUUGUAAAGUACUUUCAGCGGGGAGGAAGGCGGUGAAGUUAAUAGCUUCACCGAUUGACGUUACCCGCAGAAGAAGCACCGGCUAACUCCGUGCCAGCAGCCGCCGCGGUAA